GGUAUUAGCUCAGCUGGUUAGAGCGCCGGCCUGUCACGUCGGAGGUCGCGGGUUCGAGCCCCGCUUUC
rnacentral:tRNA from 1 species